AGAGGAGCUAAGUGGUAGAGAAAUGGAAGAGAAAGAUAAAAAGGAUGUAGAUAUGAUGAAGAGAGGCAGAAUUGGAGGUUCAAGAGUAGUGAAGAACAGUCUAAUAUGAGUAGCUCUUGUUGCCACCCAGGACCGUGGUGGAGUCUGGCCUGUGCUGCUACCAGGAGCCAUUUUUGAAUCUGUGGUCCUGAAGCAUCAGGGGUCUGUUCCCCACAAAGGCCAGGCAGAUGUUCCUGAUCUUGGCUUUUGCCCAGAGACAUGUUGAUGUCUGAGGGCUAUACAGAACUGACCCCACCCUCACCUGGGCAUCAUGGGAGAGUUGGCCCUAGGGGCAUGAGAGCAGAAGAGAUGACCUUGUCCUUUUACAGCUGCAGAAACUGAGAAAAGGCUCUGCACCUUCCGUGGGCAUCAGAGUAGAGCCGACCUUGGUGGAGGGGAUGUGAGAAAGUUGGCCCUGAAGAUGAAUUUGAAUCCUGCAACAUGGCUGCUCUUUCAAAUGAUCACAUCCAAAAAUUUUCUAGUUCUGUAUGAUCUGACCAGAAUGCAAACAUGCCCUGGAUUCCAUAUAGUAUGAUCUGACUGGGAUACAGCAUGCACAGAAUCUUUCAGAAUUAUGAAAGGUAACCCACAGAACUGAAACUUCCAAGUGAGUACCAGCUUCAUUUCUCUACUUCCUGUGCCUCAAGCACAUGGUAACUUCAACUACACAAGAGCAGCUUCACUCAUGAGCUCUCAACAAUAUGAUUCUCUAAACAAGCCAUAAAAUUAUGAGACUACCAGUUGACCUGUUCGUCUUCAAAGGACCCACCCUUCAUGAAGAGCUACAAACUUUGGGUCCUGGGAGAGGAAGAAUCAGUGUUUUCUAG
rnacentral:lncRNA from 1 species